AUUUUGGAGAUUAAUCCCUUGUCAGUCGAUUCAUUUGCAAAGCUUUUUGCCCAUUCUGUGGGUUGUCUUUUGUUUUGUUUAGGGUUUCCUUUGCUGUGCAAAACUUUUAAGUUUAGUUAAGACCCUUUUGUUUAUUUUUGUUUUUAUUGUCAUUACUCUAGGAGGUGGAUCUGAGAAGAUAUUGUUGUUGUUUAUGUCAAAGAGUGUUUGGCCUAUGUUUUCCUCUAAGAAUUUGGUAGUCUCUGGUCUUAUAUUUAGGUCUUUAAUCCAUUUUGAGUUUAUUUUGUGUAUGGUGUUAGGAUGUGUUCUAAUUUCAUUCUUUUACAUGUGGCUGCCCAGUUUUCCCAGCACCACUUAUUGAAGAGGCUGUCUUUAAUCCAUUUUGAGUUUAUUUUGUGUAUGGUGUUAGGAUGUGUUCUAAUUUCAUUCUUUUACAUGUGGCUGCCCAGUUUUCCCAGCACCACUUAUUGAAGAGGCUGUCUUUUCUCCAUUGUAUAUUCUUGCCUCCUUUGUCAUAGAGUAGUUGGCUGCAGGUGUGUGGGUUUAAUCCUGGGCUUUCAAUCCUGUUCCACUGAUCUAUAUUUCUGUCUUUGUGCCAGUACCAUAUAGUUUUGAGGACUGUAGCUUUGUAGUAUAGUCUGAAGUCAGGGCUUCUGAUUCCUCCAGCUCCAUUUUUCUUCUUCAGGAUGUCUUUGGCUAUUCUGGGUCUUUUGUGCUUCCAAACAAACUUUAAAAUAUUUUGUUCGAGGUAUAUGAACAAUGUACUUGGUAAUUUGAUAGGAAUUGCAUUGAAUCUGUAGAUUGCCUUGGGUAGUAUGGUCAUUUUGAUAACAUUGACUCUUCCAAUCCAAGAGCAUGAUACGUCUUUCCAUCUAUUUGUAUCAUCUUUGAUUUCUUUCAUCAGCUUCUUAUAGUUUUCAGAGUACAGUUCUUUUGUCUCUUUAGGUAGGUUUACUCCUAGGUAUUUUAUUCUUUUGGAUGCGAUGGUAAAUGGGAUUUCUUCCUUAAUUUCUCUUUCUGCUCUUUCAUUGUUAGUGUAUAGAAAUGCCAUUGAUUUCUCUGUAUUAAUUUUGUAUCCUGCAACUUUGCCAAAUACAUGAAUGAGCUCUAACAGUUUUCUGGUAGUUUUUAG
rnacentral:lncRNA from 1 species